AUUCUUCUUUCCUCCAUGGACAUGGCCUCAUCAUCCCAAACUAAGUAGACCUCAUUUGUUGCUGGUUGGUUAGCUGGAGCUUUGUUGGUAAUAACAGGUGGUGGACCAAUUGAGGGCCCAGCAGUAUUUGGGCCAGAGGCAUAAGAAUGUGAAUUUACCGGUGCUGAGACUGAAAUCUGAUAACCAAUGGCGGCAGGAGCAUUGUUGCCCAUGUUUGGGUCAAAUAAGCUCUUUGUUUCAACUGCAGAGCUGAAUGGCACACUCGCUGACAGCAUUGGGCCUGAGAAUGGCGAACUUUGGGCAAGGUUAUUGUUAUUAGGAACAACAGGAAACAAGGGUUGAGAUACGGGAACAGGUGGGGUCGGGAUCCCUGGAGGAGCAACAAGUGUUGGUGGUGCAGUGGCUGGCAUUGGAGGCCUCAUAUGUUGCACAGGAAAUAAUGGUUGUUGUGGAAGACCCAUCAGUGCAGGAGGUGGAACCGAGACAGCAGGAUACUGUGAAUACCAAGGAAGAUGGCGAGGGGGGGCUGACCAACCAGCAGGAGGCAUAGGCAGCGCAGGAUUAUAGAGUGGUGGCACCGCGCCAAAAGUUGCCCGGGGAGGAUAUCCUGGAAAUGCACCACCAAGAUACUGGGAUGAUGGAAUGUCCACUUUGGCAGUUUUCACUGGGGACUCAUCUUCUUCCUCUCCAUAGUGAGCUGCUAAGAUAUCACUUGGGAUUCCUUGCAUUCCAUAUACUUCAAUAUCAGUAGACUCUCUACCGGGUUUGGCAUUCGGUACCUGGCUGACGGUUUCUUUGUGAACCUGGAGAACGUGAAUGGCCAUGCCGCCAGCAGUAGAAAGCUUCUUAUGGCAAACAUGGCAUUUGAAGUGUUUAGCCUUUUGAUGCUGAACCAAAAUCUUCUCAUCAUCGAACUCCCUGUCACAGUAGUAGCACCAUACCUUAUCGGUUGACCUCUUCUUCUUCUUCCCCAUUUAUCUCACCAGAAAACCCAAAGUGCUCCUCCUUUAGCAAUUGAAUCAAAUCGGACGAAAUCAAUGCGUGCUGAUCCGCUAGGGUUCCGAAAGCGAUUUGGGAUUGAACACUGGGGUUUUUCUCUCUCUAUUCGAGGAAGAUAGUUAGGGUUUCUG
rnacentral:misc_RNA from 1 species